GGAAGUUCAGUGGCACAGCAUCUGCCUUGCAUGCAGAAGGUCCUGGGUUCAAUCCCCAGCAUCUCCA